AACAAACAGCAGCAGUCCCCAGAGAAUCAAAAGGAAUCCUCAAACAGGUUUCCUGAAUCAAAAUACACAAACCAAAUCUAGUGAGGGCACCCCCACCACGCCCCGCCCCAAUUUCUCUAGCCCCUGCCCCACUCUCUAGUCUCUACUCCGGGUUCACGCAGAUAUUUUUCAUCCCCUCUCUAUUCAUUGUUCUCUCCUCUCUUUCCGUCUCCCUGAACUUAACUGAUCAUAAGUUUUUAGAAGAUACAAUAUGUACUCACUCCCAGCAUUGCGGAAAUGCCGUUGCUUCGUGUUUCAGUUGAAUGCUGAAAUUUGACAUUGGUUUGUAAUGAACUUAGUUUGUCCUUUCUGAAGACUAUUGCAUGCAAAGCAUAUUGAUGCAACUUUGAGCAUCUUGAAGACAUGAAGCAUAGUGUCCGACUUCUGUUUUUCCCUUCUGCAAUUGCAAAGAAGGAUUAGAGAUUGAUCUCCAAAUUCUGAACAGAUGACAUGACAAAGACAGGUUAUAGAGUUGGAUACCUUGAGUGAAGCAGUGGUACCUAGAACCUAGUGCUAUCCAUGAAUGUCAUUAUCUGCUUAAUAACAACAAGAGGGACUGUGUAGAAAUAAGAAGAUAAGGUGCAGAUUAACACCAACUGUCAUCUUGGUAGAAAGUUUAGGACCGCUAUCGUCUUCUCUUUUUUCAAAAAAGGUUUGACUCGUCUACAAAAUAGUACCACAUUCAAGUUUGACAAGUUAGGAGAUGAGUGUGCCCUAGCUGACCAUCAUCAAGAAAUGGACUUCACUGGAAGGAAAUCAUUAUUCCCUCUACCACAAAUUGAAUCUCCUUGUUGAGUUGGCAUGAAAAUUCUGAAGAUUUUGUUUGAGAUUUUGUGGAUACUGGUGGUUAUAAGGGGGCCUGGGGGGAUAAGCAAUCUUUGAAGUCCGUCAUACUAGAAGUUUUCCCACUAUAAAGAACCUUUACACUGUAAAAGUAAUUUAAAAGAUGGCCAAACUUUCCUGUACAACAGAAUUUGACAGGUUGCUAAAUCCUUGAAGUUGAUCUAUUAAUGGCGAUCGUCGGUGAAAAGGUAGCAUGUGGCCUUUAUUCUAAUCAUGUGGCCUGUCAGUACCCUCAAGAGCUUGAAAAGGACAGUUCUAUCCCUAACUAUGAUUUGAUUCUAGACAAAUGGGAGUCAUAGUCCCCUAUGUUGCUCAGACUCUCCAAAAAUAUUGCCGGGUGCGUGUUAGAUCCUCCAAAAGUAGUGUAUUUUUGGAGAAUCCGACACGGGUGCGACAUUAUUUUGGAAAGUCCGCACAACAUAGAUAGUCCCUGAUCUAUUCUUUUAUGUGACCUCUCUCCAGUUAAAUCAUGAAUAGCUGAAGUUGCAGUACGUUCAUACAAUAGGUAGCUUUUCAUGCCGCAUCGUAAUAAUGGAAUACUUAGUUCCUGUUCUCUGUCAAUGUGUUGGAUUGCCACUGGCUUAUCGUGUCUUUUAUAAAACACUUUGGAGAAAUAUUGCUAUUGUCUUGUAAGAUAUCUUCGUUCCGUUUAAACCGUGUCUUCAACUUUAGCCUUCAGUCCAGCAUCUUCAACGGUACAUCUGACUGUAACUAUGAGAAUCUGUAUGCUUCCUUCUUGCAGCAUUUUGUUUAUGUUUUUUUUGCUUUUGCCCCAUUAUCCUGCUCUCCAUCUCCUAAUUCUGAUUAAUUUGCUAAAAUUUGCGGAUAGGUGCUAAUAUCUUUUAAAUCCUUUUCACACAGAGCUGUAAACAACAAUGGCCCCAGGGCUUUGUUCUAGUGGUAAGAGCACAACCGAUGAUGUGUGGAUUAGGCACCCGUCGCAGGUUCGAAUCUUGCCUCAGACAAAGCCUGAUAUUUAAGUGGAGAAGGGUAGAGAGGCGGGCCCAUCAUAUGCCGAGUUUUUAACCGUUUGGCCACCGAGGAUCUCUCGGUAGUCAGGAAAAAGUGUAAACAAUAAUACACCACAAUUUAUGCAUGUUGUAAAAAGAGGAAAGAGGAGAGAAACUCUUACUGAACUUCUCUUGUUAGAAAAGCUCUCGUGUCUUACUGAACAUUUUUGGGUUAACAUAUAAGAGGGCUCUUUUUAAUGGAUUGAAGAAUCCUAAUUAUUGGGGUUUUCAAUUAUGAUAUACUAGUUAAUAGUUCUCUUAAUAAUGGCAGAGCAUUAGGAGUAAUUCUCACUAAGAUCAUUAUGACACACUUUUAGACUAAAUAGACUCCUUGUAUCUUGGAUAGGAGUUGAGCCAAAACUUUAGUACAGGUUCAACUCCUGAUUGUUGCCGGAACAGUGGUCAUCACCGAAAGGUCGUACUCACGGACUGCUAUCGACACAGACAGAGAAACGCGCCUUGCAGCACAUGGGAAAAAUCAUUUUUAUUUAGCGGAAAGAGAUUCUGGUGACACCAAAUCUCUAUUAAAUCAUGUAAGCUUGAAUUAAAGUUGAAGGAUAACAAGAAAUUAAUGGGGUUAUUGCUGGCAAAGCCAGAGAAAAGUGACCGGAAGAGACGAUGCCAUCAGGAUGGUUGGCUGAAAGAGAUCAGCGUGGUGCCUCAAAUGUUCUCUGGAAAGAAAUGUGGAGCCUGAAAAGGCACAAUGCUGCCUAAAUGAUGGCUGGAAAUAAGAAUAGUGCUGCCUAGAAUGGUUAUCAGAAAGAGGCAAGAGUAGUACUUAGAUUUCCACAAAUAUCGUAGAAGCAUAAUAUGCCUAAUACCACAUGGAAGGAGAGAGAGGAAGAGAAACUCUUGUUGGAACUGGUUGAUAACAUCAAGAGGGCUCCUUGUGGAAAAGUUUUGAACUAUAUAUGAGAUAAGGAAGUUUCAUGUUCCUAAGGUUUCGUAUUUACUACAUGAUAUAAUCACUAAGGAUAUUUUCCAUAUUAUUCUUAUUGAUCCUUGUAACUUUCAUUGAUAAUAUAAUCAUUACCAAAUUCUCUACUAUUUAAUUAUUCUGUUAACUUUGAA